GCUUUACGUAUUUAAAGAUGGCGGCUCACAGUGUCAGGUCGUGUGUUGUGAAACAUAGCUAGUUUAUUCUCACAGUGACAGCACUUCAGGUCUUUAAGGAUAUAAGAAAUACGUUUCUUUUUAUAUAUUCAUAUAUGAAUAAUGCACGCGACGUCGUUUAAGGACAUGUCAGAACGUUAGGAGGCGAACGUUAGGAGCAAGAACCUGAAUGACACUUCGCCAAAAGACCUAGACUCCGACCAGGGGGAAACCCUACAGCUGCAGAGAGACGAUGCUGGCGACUUCGUGCUCGCGCCUGUGCCGCGGGACGCCGUCCAGCCGAGCGCGGAGGGCGCUGAGUCUGUUCUCCGGCUCGGGACCGUCCAACUGGACCAAAGUGGUCUCCGACGCCGAGAAGAUCGUCGGAUACCCGACCUCCUUCAUGAGCCUCCGCUGCCUGCUCAGCGACGAACUCAGCAAUGUUGCCAUGCACGUGAGGAAGCUGGUCGGGACCCAGCACCCGUUACUCAGCACCGCGAGAGGCUUUGUGUACGACAACCGGAACAACCUUCAGAUGAGGGGGGUUAUUGUCCUGCUGAUGUCGAAAGCCGCGGGGCCAAGCCACACGGCGUCUGAUCUCCUGGCUCAGGACAUGGUCAGCGGCAUCUAUCCCAGCCAGAGGAACCUGGCAGAAAUCACAGAGUUGAUCCACACGGCAUUCCUGGUGCAUCGCGGGAUAGUCAAUCUGAAGGAGUGGACGGUGUCCGACGGCCCGCUGAAAGACAUGCAGUUUGGGAAUAAGAUGGCUGUCCUGAGCGGCGACUUCCUGCUAGCGAACGCUUGUACCGGACUGGCCCAGCUGAAUAACACUAAGGUUGUUGAACUGAUCUCCAGCGCCAUCGGUGAUAUAGUCCAAGGAAUCUACUACGAGAAUUCCAGUAACACUGAGCAGGCCAACGGUCCCACCGAUGGCGUCGACGUGGCGACUUGGGAGGAGCAGACGUUCCUGUCCCAUGGGGCACUGCUCGCCAAGAGCUGUCAGGCUGCGAUGGAGCUCGCCAAACAUGACAAGGAUUCCCAAAGACUGGCCUACAAGUACGGCAAGCACCUAUCGCUGGGCCACAAGCUGAACUCUGACCUGCAGCCAUUUGUGAAGAGAAGUGUGGGAGAGCCGCUGUCGUUCAGUUUGAGCGCCGCCCCGGUCGUUUUCCACCGUCAGAUCGUCGGUCAGGAGAGAUGGCAUCAGCAGCUGCAGCAGGCGAAAACACUGAGGAACCAACUGGAUUACUCCAAGCUUUUGGCAGCAGUAAAAUCGGAGAGAGGCAUGAGCUCAACGGUGGACUUAUGCCGUUACCAUGGCAACAAGGCACUGGAGGCCAUCCAGGCAUUCCCCUCCUCCGAGGCUCGAUCCGCCUUGGAGAACAUCGCCUCCGCCAUCACCAAAUUUUGACCUGGACACAGUCUCUCUCUCUCUCUCUCUCUCUCUCUCUCUCUCUCCCUCUCUCCCUCACACACACACACACACACACACACACUGCUUUUUCUGAGUGUGCAGGCUGAGAUGUCUUUGUCUGCAGAGGCAACAGGACGACACCGAAGAGACAUGUGAAGUUCAUUUGAGCCCGGUGCCGGCUUGUGUCCUGCGAAACUGUCCUGAUCUGUUGUGGAUGACAUAACGGUCAUAAUUAAAGAGGGUCAAUAAACACA